AACGCACCUUGCGCCCUUUGGUAUUCCGAAGGGCAUGCCUGUUUGAGUGUCAUUAAAUUAUCAACCUUGCUCGCUUUCGUGGCUUGAGUUAGGCUUGGAUGUGAGGGCUGCUGGCUUCCUUCAGUGGAUGGUCUGCUCCCUUUAAAUACAUUAGUGGUAUUCUCUUUGUGGACCGUCACUUGGUGUGAUAAUUAUCUACGCCGCUUGACUUGCAGAGAUUGAAAUCCGCUUCUAACCGUCCAUUGACUUGGACAAUUUACUUGACAAUUUGACCUCAAAUCAGGUAGGACUACCCGCUGAACUUAA
rnacentral:misc_RNA from 1 species